rnacentral:tRNA from 1 species
GAAAUAACUAAAUUAAAGCUUCUAACUUUAAGCCAAAGCGUAGAAACGUUUUUAUUUCU